rnacentral:tRNA from 1 species
AGGGGCAUAGUUUAAUGGCAGAAUGGAGGUCUCCAAAACCUUAGAUGGGAGUUCGAUUCUCUCUGCCCCUGCCA